UUGUUAUGUCUAUUUGCUAGCUGUUGGCGUUGAGCUAGCAGAUUAUGUAUGGUUAACCCAUCCAUCCUGAUUGGAUCAGGUCCUGUUUUCUUGUUCAAAUGAUGUGAGGUGCAUGAAUGGUUUAAAUUUAAAGAUGUUAUGAGCUGCAUGGAUGGACUUUUGGGCACAGGGUCACAGGAACAUGCAGUAUACUUAAUACAUGCUAGUUUAGUAUUGUACUGAACUAGCUAGCUUCCUGAAUUUUCCAUAUAGUUUUCUUUCAUAUAGUUUUCCAGUCAAAUGUUUACUGUAGGUAUUUGAAGUUCUUGACCUGAUGCUAUUCUUGGACUCAACUAAUAUUUUUUCUUAUGACUUGAUGUUCUUUGGUCCGUCGUCGAAACAGUAGUUGUUGCUCGAUGCUCUGUUCACCAUAUACUUAAUAGCAUGGAAAAAAUGCAAUGUUGUAUCAUCCUCCUGUUUUACACGAUUUACAUGGAUGUGUCGUGGUUGACAAGGUUUAAUUCACGAUUUUUACACGUUUGCUUUUCUUAAUAUAUAUGGUUUAUUCACGAUUUCAUGGUUUUUUGUUUCAUCUAUUUUAGGUGCGCCGUGGUUGCUAAGUGAUGAAGGGAGGGCCUGUUUUGCUGUGUUCUGGUGGUUUAGAGGACAUUUUAUUUUUGUCAGUAGUGUGUUAUCAACGACAGUUAUCCUAUGUUUGAUUCAUCAUAAUUAUGUAAUACUCGCAUUCUGCUCUAAUUUCAAUUUGAUAGCCAGAUGCCUACCAACAAAAUGUUUUGUAGCAAGUUUUUCUUACUAUGGGGUUUGAUAACUUAUAAAGAUUGGAUUUUUAAUUGUUUUGCACCAUGUCAUCUCUAUAUUCCAAAC
rnacentral:lncRNA from 1 species